rnacentral:sRNA from 1 species
UUUUGCGGGGAUCGCCAUCCGUCAGCGCGUUGCGCCCACGGGUGUCGCUUCG